rnacentral:rRNA from 1 species
UACGAAGGUGGCAAGCGUUGUUCGGAUUUACUGGGCGUACAGGGAGCGUAGGCGGUUGGAUAAGCCCUCCGUGAAAUCUCCAGGCUUAACCUGGAAAGUGCAGAGGGGACUGUUCAGCUAGAGGAUGGGAGAGGAGCGCGGAAUUCCUGGUGUAGCGGUGAAAUGCGCAGAUAUCAGGAAGAACACCGGUGGCGAAGGCGGCCCACUGGAUCGGUAUUGACGCUGAGGCGCGAAAGCCAGGGGAGCAAACGGG